rnacentral:misc_RNA from 1 species
AAACAAUAUUAUUUAUCUGCCCUAUAGGAAUAAUGAUCAUAUUACAAUCGUGCUCGUUUAUAUCUGCAAAGAAAGCAAUACAUUCUAUAAAACGAAUUGAAAACAUUGAGUACCCAACUGUGAAAAUAAAUACAUCGAGCCAACGCAUAAGUAUUGUGACAAGUCACACGUUUGAUGUGCCACAGUGGCAAUUCACAAAAAUGUACCCGAUUUUUGUUUGCCCAGUCAUACGUGGCAAUUCUUAUCUGGCAUUUAAAUAGAGAAGAUUACAUUGAAUCCCCUCUGAGUGUUAAUUAUUACAUAUUCGAUCUCUGAUAAGCAAGCUUGAUCGUAUAUCGUAUCCAGAAAUUGGACACAGUUACUAAGUUAUGCCUGAGAAGAAGAAAAAACUUGACACUAUGCGAGCUUUAAUUUUGGUCGGUGGUUAUGGAACCAGAUUACGUCCACUUACGCUAAGUCGGCCCAAACCUCUGGUUGAAUUUGCUAACAAACCAAUGCUCUUACAUCAAAUAGAAGCAUUGGUUGAGGCAGGAGUAACAGAAGUAGUGCUUGCUGUCUCAUACAGAGCUGAGCAAAUGGAGAAAGAGCUCGGCGAAGAAGCAAAGAAGCUUGGGGUUAAUUUGAUAUUUUCACAUGAAUCAGAGCCUUUAGGGACUGCCGGUCCUCUUGCGUUGGCUAGAGAUGUAUUGAGUUCCAGCAACGAUCCAUUCUUUGUCCUUAACUCUGACAUAAUAUGUGAUUUUCCAUUCAAAGAGUUGGUUAAUUUUCACAGAAAUCAUGGCAGGGAGGGUACAAUUGUUGUUACUAAAGUUGAGGAACCAUCUAAGUACGGCGUUGUUGUUUAUGGAGAGGGUGGUAGAAUUAACAGUUUCAUCGAGAAACCCCAGGAAUUCGUUUCCAACAAAAUUAAUGCUGGAAUGUACAUCCUGAAUCCAAGUGUGCUGAAUCGGAUAAAAUUGCAGCCUACUAGCAUAGAGAAAGAAGUGUUUCCUGGCAUGGCUCAAGAUGGGGAAUUAUAUGCCAUGGAACUUCAGGGUUUUUGGAUGGACGUUGGACAGCCCAAAGAUUUUCUCACUGGUAUGUGUAUGUACUUGGCAUCUCUGAGACAAAAAUCGCCGGGAAAGUUGUAUUCAGGACCAGGAAUAGUAGGUAACGUACUCGUUGACCCUACAGCGAAAAUUGGGGAAGGCUGCAGGAUUGGUCCAAAUGUCACCGUAGGACCAGGAGUGAUCCUUGAAGACGGCUGUUGCGUCAAAAAAUGUACCUUGCUGAAAGGGGCAACAGUCAAAGAGCAUGCUUGGCUUGAAGGAUGCAUUGUCGGAUGGAGAAGUGUGGUUGGACGAUGGGUUCGAAUGGAGGGUACAACUGUGUUGGGUGAAGAUGUGAUAGUUAAAGAUGAAUUGUACAUCAACGGUGGACAGGUCUUACCUCACAAAAGUAUAGCCACUUCAGUGCCCGAACCUCAGAUUAUCAUGUGAUCUAUCUUAAAUUCUUACAGGAAGUCCACGGACCACAACUGCAGCCAUUGUCAUGUACUGGGAGCAUGAUCCUCUAUACUUAGCUAAAGCCCGCAGCAUCUCUGGUUCUACCGAUGUUUUGCAAGGUCUUGAUUCAGAUAGAGACAUUGUUGAAAUGCCAUUUUCCAAAUCCAUGUUCUUGAAUGCUGUUGACCAUUCAUUCAUCUUGACCUCUGACCAAGGCCGUGGUGCUGGCGAAGGAAUCCAAUUUCCCAUCAAAUUUGCUGUCAGUCUAUCUACAUCACCGUCAGUGACUUCCCACAGCAUACCCAAUAUACAAGGACUACAAGGACAUUUUUACAAAAUAAAUUAGUGAGUUUUACAAUUCGAAGAACUGUUACUAUUGUAUGUAUGCUAAGUUUUACAAUUCGAUACAAGUCCUACAGUAAAUAACUAAUAAUCCUUCGAACAGAAUAUAUUAGGUGAACCCAGGAGUUCUCCAGAGUAAUAUUUUAGAGCAGACAUAAUUAUUGCAUCAGAGUACUUUCUUCAAAACAUGCAUGUUCGAGAACACUUUAAGCAUGUGAAUUCACAAAUACUAAGUAAUAAGGAAAAGAACUGGUCUUCAAAGAAAGAGCAUUGUUCAAUAAUAUGUUUAAGCAAAAACAAUACCUGCAUGCUAUAAGAUAUUGGUUGGAGACUCCAAUCGGUGGAAACCUUCCACCUACUGACCACAGCUUUGCACUCCCACAGCCAAAUAAGAGAACAAUAGCCUUUACUCGUAAUUUCUCGAUUCUCUCCCCUGAUAAGUAUUGUAUUCCACUUCCAUGUCCACUAUACCUGCAAUGUAAUUGGCAGAACAUCUUUUACAUAAUUUCUAUGUUCUUAAAAUAUACUUAUAGUAAAUCUUAUCAAAGUGAUGUCCUAAUGAGUAUGAUUAUAGUUUUUAAUAUUCAUUCAAUGUACUAGAUUAAAACGAAACUCUGUACAUUGUAGUGAAAUCAAAGCUAUUAACAACACGUUGUACUAACAUUAAUAUGUCAUAGUUGGUUAAAGCACAUUCAAAACUCUUUUCAUCUGGUUGAAUAUUAUAAGUUCCUGUCCAAUGUGGUAACCAGUACUCAAUGAACAAUUUCAUACGUUUCUCAAGCUCGGGUAAAUUUCCUGAUGGAUUGACCAUAAAGCUACCAUUGUUUUUUCCGAUUUUUAUGACCUUACAACCAUUUUCGAUCGUUUCUUCAUGUUCUUUGUACAGUGCAUAUGCCAUGUGUAGUGAGGGAAAACGUGUUACUGGAUGAUUUGUAAGAACAUCCAUGACUUCGAAUGGAAUGUGGUCAAGUAUCUGUAGAGGGUGAUUAAAAAUAAAUCCUAUUAUCAAAUGA